AUUAAUACUUUACUUUAGCUAUGUUUGGUAUGCAUGAGUUAAUGAGUGAUUAGAGUACUAUGAGCAGCACAGGUUUAGAAAUGCCUAUUUGCCUAUAGUGCAGCCUCUUACAUAGGCAAAAUAAAAGUCAAGUAAGAAUUUUAUUUUAUUUUUUUAAAAUGCAAAGUAAAAUGUGUCUUUAAAACUCUCCCAGGAGGUGAAGGGAAGCUACCAUAACACCAGGUGGGAAGGAAGACAUACUGGGCUUGGCUCAUGCUUUAAUUAGCUACUGUGUAAAAAUGUUCAGGGAUUUUCAGUUAUCCGCUGGCACCCAGAGGCAAUGGGUAAGGUUAACUGGAGCUAGAGCCAAUAUUUUUUUCUUCCUAGAAGGAGUAACAGCAGCAAACAGUAGGAGAGAAGAUGCCAAGUUAGAAGUGCAUAUAGCUCUCUUCCACAGGAGGCCUACAUGCCGCCACUUGUGCUGCCGCCAUGUCUCUAGUGAUCCCUGAAAAGUCCCAGCAUAUUUUGCCGAGUAGUCAACACCAACAUUGAUGGGUGGCGGAAAAUGGCCUUUGCCAUCACUGCCGUUAAGGGUGUGGGCCGAAGAUAUGCUCAUGUGGUGUUGAGGAAAGCAGACACUGACCUCACCAAGAGGGCGGGAGAACUCACUGAGGAUGAGGUGGAACAUGUGAUCACCAUUAUGCAGAAUCCACACUAGUACAAGAUGCCAGCCUGGUUCUUGAACAGACAGAAGGAUGUAAAGGAUGGAAAAUAUAGCCAGGUCCUAGCCAAUGGUCUGGACAACAAGCUCUGUGAAGACCUGGAGCGACUGAAAAAGAUUCGGGCCCGUAGAGGGCUGCGUCACUUCUGGGGCCUUCGUGUCCGAGGCCAGCACACCAAGACCACAGGCUGCCGUGGCCGCAUCGUGGGUGUGUCUAAGAAGAAGUAAGUCUGUAGGCCUUGUCUGUUAAUAAAUAGUUUAUAUACCAAAAAAAAAAAAAAAAAAAA